GAUGAACGCUGGCGGCGUGCCUAAUACAUGCAAGUCGAGCGAACAGACGAGGAGCUUGCUCCUCUGACGUUAGCGGCGGACGGGUGAGUAACACGUAGGUAACCUACCUAUAAGACUGGGAUAACUUCGGGAAACCGGAGCUAAUACCGGAUAAUAUAUUGAACCGCAUGGUUCAAUAGUGAAAGACGGUUUUGCUGUCACUUAUAGAUGGAUCCGCGCCGCAUUAGCUAGUUGGUAAGUUAACGGCUUACCAAGGCAACGAUGCGUAGCCGACCUGAGAGGGUGAUCGGCAACACUGGAACUGAGAAACGGCCCAGACUCUUACGGGAGGCAGCAGUAGGGAAUCUUCCGCAAUGGGCGAAAGCCUGACGGAGCAACGCCGCGUGAGUGAUGAAGUUCUUCGGAUCGUAAAACUCUGUUAUUAGGGAGGACCAAAUGUGUAAGUAACUAUGCACGUCUUGACGGUACCUAAUCAGAAAGCCACGGCUAACUACGUG
rnacentral:rRNA from 1 species